rnacentral:rRNA from 1 species
UACGUAGGGCGCAAGCGUUGUCCGGAAUUAUUGGGCGUAAAGAGCUCGUAGGCGGUCUGUUACGUCUGCUGUGAAAACCCAGGGCUUAACCCUGGGCUUGCAGUGGAUACGGGCAGACUAGAGGCAGGUAGGGGAGAAUGGAAUUCCCGGUGUAGCGGUGAAAUGCGCAGAUAUCGGGAGGAACACCGGUGGCGAAGGCGGUUCUCUGGGCCUGACCUGACGCUGAGGAGCGAAAGCGUGGGGAGCAAACAGG